rnacentral:rRNA from 1 species
UACAGAGGGUGCAAGCGUUGUUCGGAGUUACUGGGCGUAAAGGGUGCGUAGGCGGUCCUACAAGUAUGGUGUGAAAUCUCCCGGCUUAACUGGGAGGGUGCGCUAUAGACUGUGGGACUAGAGUGUGGGAGAGGAAAGUGGAAUUCCUGGUGUAGCGGUGAAAUGCGUAGAUAUCAGGAGGAACACCGGUGGUGUAAACGGCUUUCUGGACCGUAACUGACGCUGAGGCACGAAAGCGUGGGUAGCAAACAGG